rnacentral:ncRNA from 1 species
GAUCGAGAGUAUCUGGUCCCCUCCGAAAGCAAUUUCGGAGCGCAAAACUUCAACAAUCAAAAGGAAGUUGGAGAGAAAAAUUUGGCUAUAUGCUGGAACAUCCGAGUAUCUGACAUUACUCCGUCGCGGAGUUAUAAUAUGUUCAGUGCGGACAAUCAGCAGGGAAGACUUGGAAAUCUUGAUAGAGGGUGGGAGACGAAUAGGUUCUUACCAAUACAGUGCUUGUACACACUGCAUUGAGUUGGGAGAUUGAGAAAUCAAUCGAACAUCGAGGGGAUGACAACCGAUGUAAAAUACCCCGUCACUCCUUGUGGGAGUAUGACCACCCUCCCUCUAUCAAGAUUUCCAGGAACCCUCAGAGACUACACGCCAAACUUCCGUUUGCACGGAAGAUGAUAUAGUCCGACCUCUAUGGCGACAUAGAG